rnacentral:rRNA from 1 species
GCAGUUAAAAAGCUCGUAGUUGGAUUUUGGUUAAGAGGGCGCGGUCGGCCGUUUGGUCUGUACUGCGUUGUCUUGACUUCCUGAUGAGGACAUGCUCUUGGUUAACGCUGAGACAUGGAGUCAUUGUGGUUACUUUGAAAAAAUUAGAGUGUUCAAAGCGGGCUUACGCUUGAAUAUAUUAGCAUGGAAUAACACUAUAGGACUCCUGUCCUAUCUCGUUGGUCUCGGGAUGGGAGUAAUGAUUAAGAGGAACAGUUGGGGGCAUUCGUAUUUCAUUGUCAGAGGUGAAAUUCUUGGAUUUAUGAAAGACGAACUUCUGCGAAAGCAUUUGCCAAGGAUGUUUUCAUUAAUCAAGAACGAAAGUUGGGGGCUCGAAGAUGAUUAGAUACCAUCCUAGUCUCAACCAUAAACGAUGCCGACUAGGGAUUGGUGGAUGUUAAUUGAUGACUUCACCAGCACCUUAUGAGAAAUCAAAGUUUUUGGGUUCCGGGGGAAGUAUGGUCGCAAGGCUGAAACUUAAAGGAAUUGACGGAAGGGCACCACCAGGCGUGGAGCCUGCGGCUUAAUUUGACUCAACACGGGGAAACUUACCAAGUCCAGACAUAAGUAUGAUUGACAGAUUGAGAGCUCUUUCU